AGUGCCAAAACAGGCAGACUCUAUGGGAAGGGAAACUCUUAAGUCUGAGAGAGGCACUAAAUCCAGUAUUGGUUGUGGCACUGCUGAAGCUAAUUAUGGCUGGGCACCUACUCACUGACCUUCUUUGGGAGUGACUGAGAAAUGAGUACUGGUGCAAGAGUGGUCAGGGCCAGAUGACUGAAGAAGGGUGUGGGAAGAAGACGAAAGUAGUGAGACUUCCUCAAAACACUCUUCAGCCUCCAGGAAUCCAUGGAUC